UUCAACCGCUAGAAUUUUCAAGGCUGAGCAUCUCCAAACUUCUUCAUUUUAAUCAUCUCUCUCUCUUAUUUCGCCUCCAUAGGUUGAGCAUCUCUCUCUCUCUCUCCCAAUCUGUUUCUCUUUCUCUUUCUCUCCAUUUCAUUCCUCUCUCCAUCUUCAUCCAUUUCUUCUUCAUUUUGAUCAUCACUCUUUUCUUCUUACCAGCGUCAACCGUCUUCAAACUAGUCGACCCCCCCUCUCUCUGUGUCUGAUUUCGCCCUUUGAGCUAAGCAUCUCUCUCUCUCUCUCCAUCUUCAUCAUUCUCUUCUUCAUUUUGAUCAUCCAUCUCUUCUUUUUUACCAGCGCUGAUCGUCUUCAAACUAGUCGUCCCCCUCUCUCUCUGUCUCUAUAUCCCUCUGAUUUUGAUCAUUGAUCGCCGAGUUCGAUGGAACACAAGUGUUUGGACUAUAGUAGAGCUUAAUUGGCCUGGAAAGAAGCUCUAGAAGUCGAUGAAGAACAAGCCCUAGAGGUCGAUUUUGGUUGAGAUGAAAAACAGGUUCAUCAAUCAAGCUAGAAUCUAGGUGACCAGGCUCAAAGUUGAUCGCCUGGAGUCCCGUCUGUCUACCAACUAGCUACUGUGCCUCCUGAGGAGGUUUCUUUUGAGAAGUGGUCAAGUUUUUUGUGAACCAUGUUAAUGAUCUUUUGUAUUUUCUUUUGUUAAGCUUGAACAUGUCUUUCGUUAUGUAUAUAUAUAUAUGGUGACGUAGGAUGACGUCAAUAUAUAAAUUAAGUUUUAAAUUUUGUGUCUCAUGUAUGUCUACACAGUUCUAUGAACGUUAUAUGUUUGUAUUUA